GAGCUGUUGAAAGACAAGAAGUGUUAUAUUUGUCUAAGAAGAUAAGGAAACUAAAUUUACUGGAAGUUUCAGAAUUGCAUCCACUUGUGAAGCAUCAAGGAACAGAGUGAGUUAAACACUCAAAAAGCAGUUAUGACUCUGGAAGUAAUGGGGUUUUGUGAAUGGUUCUUGCUCUUAAUGACGAAAAGUUACAGAGGAGUGUGUCAGAAAUUUUGCAGUGCAAAAUGCGCAGAUUCAGUAAGAGUAAAGCUUCUUGCAGGGCAAAAAGCCCAGAAAUGCAAAAAAAAAAAAAAAAAAAAUUAAUACACCAAAGGGAGAACAAGCCACCUAGCAAACAUGCUACAGCAAUAUGAGUGCAAGAUUAGAUACAAAGAUGAAAAUUAAACUGUCAUAUUUGACCUAGCAAGACUAAACUUUUCAUUUUAAUAGUGUUUUCAAAAAUAUAUUAACACUAAAGAAAGGCAUAAAUCUUUGUCUAAUGUGAUCAUCAUAUAAACAAAUUGUGUUUUCCAGUUAUGGAGACGUAAGCCAGAUGUCUUUUUUCCCCUCUUCAAAAGGGUAUGCAAGAGGACUCAAACUUAAAAUGAAGACUUAAUGCUAAGAAUUAUCAGCUGCCAGCAUGUACACAACAUGACAGAAACUAUUUUUUAUUGCUUCUUUGCUCCUGUGUCCUGCCUUUUCUCUAGUAACAUUCAAGGGCUGGUAUUGCCUUGAAAUGACCUCACUACCUACCAGUUACCAAGAGAGAAGCCAGCAUUCCAAGAGCUGCAGAGUCUUGGCAUGGAGAGAAUUACCUAUUGCCAAAAGGAAUGCAUUGACUCCGUAUUUUCACCGCAGCAUAUUUAAGGGGGGAAGGAGGAAAGCAGUCAAUGAAAUAAAGCUUUGCCUUCAGACAGUCUUUGUAACAUGAUGUGUGAAUAAACAUCUCUGCUCACCUCAAUGUAUGGACUUUUAUACUAGCAUAAAACUGAUUGCACUAGCAAGGCUUAUUUCCAUAGUGAGAAGGAAGAAAGAUGGGGGAACAGCUGUGCAUAAAGAUCCUGACCCUCAGUAAGGAAGCUCAGUAAUCCUAUCACCAGUCAGUGAAUAUCACAAUAAAGAAGGUAGGAGAAGAACAAUUAGAAUCCUAAUAACAUUAGUUAAUCCUUUUCUAAACUUAAUAGCAUAUAAUAAUUGCCAUCACCUUUCCUACCCUUCAGUUAGUGCAAACUUCACAGUAUUUUAAGAACUAUAAAAGAAGUUCAUCAUGUGUUUCAACAUCGUGCUGAAAAUAUGACUAGGGGGUCUAUUCAGUUCAGUCUUAAUAACUAACUAAAACUGUCAUUUUCAACAAACAGCAAAGAGGAAUUAAAGUGUUUAUAAACACAGUAAAAUGCUGCCUGUGCAUAUUAAGAAUAAAAGCCUUAUUCCUUCUACCAACUAGAAUCUAAUAUAAAACAGCAUGUGGCAAUAUGCAAUUCUGAUUCAACUUCUGGCAUAAGGUCUUCCAAUAAACUUUUUUUAAGGUAUACCCAUCCACAGCCAAUAAAGGACAGUAAGACUUUUAAAAAUGAGCACAGUUCCUAGAAAUUACUGAGGCAGACCAGUGGCCAGAGUGUUUCAGUCCUCAAGUAUUCCACUAUACCAUUUUUUACUGAAUCAGUGUUUUUGUUUUACCACACAAAAUGAAGAACAGCUUCUUCCUUCUUAUUUUGAAUUUGUUUUGCCCUAAUUCACUCAGAUUUAAAUAUGCUACCACACAUGGCACUUUCUUCCCCCAUCAUUAUUCACACUUCUUGCAAGUCAGAGAUGUGGGAUGAUAUGGAAAGAAUUUUAAAUACAUAUAUAUCAAAUUCCUUCCUUCUCAAUGGAGACUCCAUGAAACAGACACUCAAUAACUAAACAUUUCUGUGCACCGAACCACAGUGCAAAAAACUUAGGCAGUACACUUUGAACAAUGCUGAGGAAACAUGCAGUUUGAGAUAAGCAUGUGGAUAAGCACACUUAUCCACACCAUUUGCUGCUCUUGAAGUACUCUGUAUGCUGUGGCAGUACCUGUCACAAAUGGUGUGCACUGAAAUACAAGUGGUUACUUUUACUUCUGAUCAGCCGAACUAGAAUAGUUAGUUUCCUCAAAACUUACUCUUCCUCCUUUUGCUCUGAACAUGCCAAGCAGUUGGAUCUUGGCAAGCAGACUGUCACUUUAUUGAUAGUUUGAACAACCUACAGCUCUUUGAGAAAGUAUUGUAUUUAUCUCUGCUUAAAGAUUUAAAAUCCAUGUGCUCACAGUGCCACUAAGUACAAAAGCGUCACACAAUCCACUAGAAAGCAGGCAGCUCCUACAUGGAAGCCAUCCUACAAAUUCUACAGCUUUGCACAAUCUAUGUGGUGCAGAACCCAAGUACAGAGACUUCCCAUCACUAACACUUUAGACAAUUCCUAUUCCUUGGGGAGCACGACACAAGUAUUACUGUAUCUUCCAGGGUUUUAAUGUGAAAUAUUUACUGACUUUCAUAUAAAAAAGUACUUUCUGCAUAAUGGCAUGGAGAAUCAGAUGUAAAUGAACAUUCUAAUUGUUAUAACUGUUAUUUCAUUCACUCAAUCUCUUUUCAAGAAUAAUUUGGCUUGUUCACUGCAUUGCACCUAAAACUUUAAAUGUCAAAUGUUUUCAUGUUUUACAGCUGUACUUCUAAACAUAUUAUACGUCUUCCCUCUUCUGUGUAAGCAAGUGUGUUCAAUUUGCCUAUAUAACCGUAAGAGGAAUAAUCUUUUCAGAAACUUACUGGAUUCCUAGCUCAUUUUUGAAUGCCAGCAACCAUAGCAAGUUCAGUAUUGCAGCCACAGCACAUGUGCAAGUAAAUUAUGAACCGCAAAUCCUUGACAAGGAGAAAAGUAGUGACUUCGGGUGGCAAGCCAGCGUCCUUGCAAAGGUCGUUUUGAUUAUUCUUCCUAUCACAGAAACAGCACAGCUGGAGAGCUACUGUCCAACUGCUCUGAAUACAGUUUGAUAAGCCUGAGUAACAGAGCUGGGUUGAUGACAUACUUUGGACAGACGACUGCAGAUGCUGUGACAGGAUGAGUGGCCAACCUGAUUCUGCAGAGGGAUGCAGGGAAGAAGUAUAUUAACCAUGCACAAGCACUAAAGAUGAAAACAAAACUAAAUCUUCAUCAGCUGAAUAUUCCUACAAGUGUACUUUCGGCACGUAGCAAUUUGCACUGCAGUUGGGUACACUGCUGAACCCUGUCAACCAAAUUUCCCUUCAAGCAUUCUAGCCAAAAAAAAAGAAAA